rnacentral:rRNA from 1 species
GACGAACGCUGGCGGCGUGCUUAACACAUGCAAGUCGAACGGAAAGGCCCUGCUUUUGUGGGGUGCUCGAGUGGCGAACGGGUGAGUAACACGUGAGUAACCUGCCCUUGACUUUGGGAUAACUUCAGGAAACUGGGGCUAAUACCGGAUAGGAGCUUCUGCUGCAUGGUGGGGGUUGGAAAGUUUCGGCGGUUGGGGAUGGACUCGCGGCUUAUCAGCUUGUUGGUGGGGUAGUGGCUUACCAAGGCUUUGACGGGUAGCCGGCCUGAGAGGGUGACCGGCCACAUUGGGACUGAGGUACGGCCCAGACUCCUACGGGAGGCAGCAGUGGGGAAUAUUGCACAGUGGGCGGAAGCCUGAUGCAGCAACGCCGCGUGCGGGAUGACGUCCUUCGGGUUGUGAACCGCUUUCGCCUGUGACGAAGCGUGAGUGACGGUAAUGGGUAAAGAAGCACCGGCUAACUACGUG